rnacentral:tRNA from 1 species
GCCGCGGUGGCGGAAUUGGCAUACGCGUCAGACUUAGGAUCUGAUGCCGUAAGGCUUGUGGGUUCGAAUCCCACCCGCGGCA